rnacentral:rRNA from 1 species
AUUGAACGCUGGCGGCAGGCCUAACACAUGCAAGUCGAACGAGUGGCGGACGGGUGAGUAAUGUCUGGGACACUGCCUGAUGGAGGGGGAUAACUACUGGAAACGGUAGCUAAUACCGCAUACCAUCAGAUGUGCCCAGAUGGGCUUAGCUAGUUGGUGGGGUAACGGCGCACCAAGGCGACGAGCCCUUGCUGGUCUGAGAGGAUGACCAGCCACACUGGAACUGAGACACGGUCCAGACUCCUACGGGAGGCAGCAGUGGGGAAUAUUGGACAAUGGGCGCAAGCCUGAUGCAGCCAUGCCGCGUGUAUGAAGAAGGCCUUCGGGUUGUAAAGUACUUUCAGUGGGGAGGCGUUACCCGCAGAAGAAGCACCGGCUAACUCCGUGCCAGCAGCCGCGGUAAUAC